CAGCAGCCGCGGUAAUACGGAGGGGGCUAGCGUUGUUCGGAAUUACUGGGCGUAAAGCGCACGUAGGCGGAUCAGUCAGUCAGGGGUGAAAUCCCGGGGCUCAACCCCGGAACUGCCUUUGAUACUGCUGGUCUUGAGGUCGAGAGAGGUGAGUGGAAUUCCGAGUGUAGAGGUGAAAUUCGUAGAUAUUCGGAGGAACACCAGUGGCGAAGGCGGCUCACUGGCUCGAUACUGACGCUGAGGUGCGAAAGCGUGGGGAGCAAACAGGAUUAGAUACCCCAGUAGUCCCUGUCUCUUAUAC
rnacentral:rRNA from 1 species